rnacentral:misc_RNA from 1 species
UUUCCGUAUGUGAACCUGCGGAAGUAUCAUUACUGAAUUGUCAAACACGGGUUGUUGCUGGUCCCCGAGCGGGGACAUGUGCACGCUCUGUUUACGCAUCCAUUCACACCUGUGCACCCUCUGUAGUUCUACGGUCUGGGGGGACAUCGUCUUCCUUCUGUAGCGCUGCGUCUUUACACAUACGCUGUAACAAAGUCUAUGGAAUGUGUGCCGCGUUUAACGCAAUACAAUACAACUUUCAGCAACGGAUCUCUUGGCUCUCGCAUCGAUGAAGAACGCAGC